GACGAACGCUGGCGGCGUGCUUAACACAUGCAAGUCGAACGGAAAGGCCCUGCUUUUGUGGGGUGCUCGAGUGGCGAACGGGUGAGUAACACGUGAGUAACCUGCCCUUGACUUUGGGAUAACUUCAGGAAACUGGGGCUAAUACCGGAUAGGAGCUCCUGCUGCAUGGUGGGGGUUGGAAAGUUUCGGCGGUUGGGGAUGGACUCGCGGCUUAUCAGCUUGUUUGUGUGGUAGUGGCUUACCAAGGCUUCGACGGAUAGCCGGCCUGAGAGGGUGACCGGCCACAUGGGGACUGAGAUACGGCCCAGACUCCUACGGGAGGCAGCAGUGGGGAAUAUUACACAAUGGGCGGAAGCCUGAUGCAGCAGCGCCGCGUGCGGGAUGACGUCCUUCGGGUUGUAAACCGCUUUCGCCUGUGACGAGGCGUGAGUGACGGUAAUGGGUAAAGAAGCACCGGCUAACUACGUG
rnacentral:rRNA from 1 species